rnacentral:rRNA from 1 species
AUUGAACGCUAGCGGGAUGCUUUACACAUGCAAGUCGAACGGCAGCGCGGACUUCGGUCUGGCGGCGAGUGGCGAACGGGUGAGUAAUGUAUCGGAACGUGCCCAGUAGCGGGGGAUAACUACGCGAAAGCGUAGCUAAUACCGCAUACGCCCUACGGGGGAAAGCAGGGGAUCGUAAGACCUUGCACUAUUGGAGCGGCCGAUAUCGGCUUAGCUAGUUGGUGAGGUAACGGCUCACCAAGGCGACGAUCCGUAGCUGGUUUGAGAGGACGACCAGCCACACUGGGACUGAGACACGGCCCAGACUCCUACGGGAGGCAGCAGUGGGGAAUUUUGGACAAUGGGGGCAACCCUGAUCCAGCCAUCCCGCGUGUGCGAUGAAGGCCUUCGGGUUGUAAAGCACUUUUGGCAGGAAAGAAACGUCGCGGGCUAAUACCCCGUGGAACUGACGGUACCUGCAGAAUAAGCACCGGCUAACUACGUG